CCCACAACCCCUAACUUCCCCGCCCCCACCACCCCCGGCUCAGGCCCCAAAAAAGGAGACAGACAGUGUGAUGAUGAGGACGUAUAUCUACAGCUUGUGAAUGAAUCAGUCUACAGCUUUGUCUCUGCAGACUUUGAUGAAGAAAACGGAGCUGCAGAGGGAAACAGCUAUUUGCAAGUGUCAGAGGAACCUGUGGGCCCCACCCACUGAAAAAAGCCAGCGCCUCUGGGUAAUACACUCAAAUGUCUUCCGUAAAAAAAA